rnacentral:lncRNA from 1 species
CGGCCUCACCUAGAGGCGUCUGCCCCCGAGGCAGACACCGCCCGACGCCCUCGCUUCAGCGGUUCCCAGGAGAGCAGGCGGCAGAGACCAAGUGAUCUACCGCUAAACCUGAGCCCACCUCGACCCUAUUUCUGACGUGUCCUCUGCUAGCGGGGGGAGUGGGAGGGAGAGGAAGGGGCCUCGGGGGGAUGGAUCCCUUAGCCGCUAUUGUCAACUUCCUCGGCAGGAGUGGAUGUCUGUAAAGGUUGGAAGCAGGCACUCUGAGUCCUCCGCAAAAGAAUGUGCAGGAUCAGAGGCCUCUUUCCAUUCUGCAAGGGUCACGCAAGACCCAUGGAAUUCAACAGGAGGCAAUCUAGGGACUAUAAAAGGUCGCGACGUCUGGCUUGAGGUUAAUGGAAGUUACAAAGGGUCAAAAGCCGACAGUGAGCGCUACCAGGUGUCGGGUCGGCGUAGUGCCGGCAGUGCAAGGCGCACGUUACUGUGGACCUGAAGGCUCAGGCCUUGGUGCCAAGGCCGCCCUGUGGGCUCAGGAUAGUUUCCCACCUACUCGACUGUAAUUAGUACUCUGGCGAGAGUAAAAAGGUACUGGCGUGGGACUUAGAAUACAGGAUGCCACCGGCUGAAGAAGAACCUUGUGUGUUUGGAAAAGCGGGCUGCUUCCUAUCGGUCUUGGAUAAAAGGCAACCCAGAGCCCGGGUGCAUCCCUAACUCAUGCCCAAGGAAGGUCGUGCGGAGCCAGAGGACCUAGAAUGUAUAGUGCGCCUUCUGGGUUUGUCCACACAAUAGCGCAGGAACACAGCGACCCAAUAUAGUGAGAAGUGGCCGCAGCGCACACCCUGAGACCCUUCACCAGGCGGCCCACCCGGAGCCUGCCUACUCAGCCCCGCUACCACGAUAAGCCUGGAAUGUCAAAUAUUUGUUCUAGGAACCCAGUGAAACCUUGAGGUAAAGCCCCUCCCCUCCUCCCUCCCAUUCCGGAGCGCGCCUGCGUCAGUCCAGGCUUUCCGGUAAGGACACUCCCUUCCAACUAGUUCCUUCUCGACACCCCUGCAACCCAUCGUCCUGACUAUUUAAACUUCACAAGGUCUUCGCUACAGGCUCAGGUUCAGUGAGGCAGAGUCUUGGCUUCCCUACCCAGUUAUCCCAGAGCUACUGGUAUCGGUUUCUACCCACAACCUCCGAGCAAGGCUCCCCUUUCAACCUGUAGACCUCGCCUCCCGAUUCUCGGGAGAUCUUGCUGACUGUGGAAUCCCUGGCUGUUCCGAACCCCCUGGAAAGAAGCGGCUGUUCCCAGGUUUCUGCAAGGUAACGAAUCUGAAGAGUCAACAGAAUUGAGCGGCUCCAUUCAUUCGACUCUGGUUCUCUCAACCAGGCAUUCCCCAUAUUAAAACAAUUCCAGAACU